rnacentral:rRNA from 1 species
AAUGAACGCUGGCGGCAUGCCUAACACAUGCAAGUCGAACGAAGGCUUCGGCCUUAGUGGCGCACGGGUGCGUAACGCGUGGGAAUCUGCCCUUGGGUUCGGAAUAACAGUUAGAAAUGACUGCUAAUACCGGAUGAUGUCGUAAGACCAAAGAUUUAUCGCCCAAGGAUGAGCCCGCGUAGGAUUAGCUAGUUGGCGGGGUAAAGGCCCACCAAGGCGACGAUCCUUAGCUGGUCUGAGAGGAUGAUCAGCCACACUGGGACUGAGACACGGCCCAGACUCCUACGGGAGGCAACAGUGGGGAAUAUUGGACAAUGGGCGAAAGCCUGAUCCAGCAAUGCCGCGUGAGUGAUGAAGGCCUUUGGGUUGUAAAGCUCUUUUACCCGGGAUGAUAAUGACAGUACCGGGAGAAUAAGCUCCGGCUAACUUCGUGCCAGCCGCCGCCGUAAGAC